CCUACGUGUGGCUGCAGUGGGGAAUAUUGGACAAUGGGGGGAACCCUGAUCCAGCGACGCCGCGUGAGUGAAGAAGUAUUUCGGUAUGUAAAGCUCUAUCAGCAGGGAAGAAAGAAAUGACGGUACCUGACUAAGAAGCCCCGGCUAACUACGUGCCAGCAGCCGCGGUAAUACGUCGGGGGCAAGCGUUAUCCGGAUUUACUGGGUGUAAAGGGAGCGUAGACGGUUACGCAAGUCUGGGGUGAAAGGCGGGGGCUCAACCCCCGGACUGCUUUGGAAACUGGAUAACUGGAGUGCAGGAGAGGUAAGUGGAAUUCCUAGUGUAGCGGUGAAAUGCGUAGAUAUUAGGAGGAACACCAGUGGCGAAGGCGGCUUACUGGACUGUAACUGACGUUGAGGCUCGAAAGCGUGGGGAGCAAACAGGAUUAGAUACCCUAGUAGUC
rnacentral:rRNA from 1 species